CUUUCAUUGAACCUGUAAUGCGAAUUUGAAAUACAUAAUUAUGUGAUAUAAGAGGCGUGUAUAGACACAAUUUUUUAUGUAUGACCAAGCUUUGUCUUUUUAAGAUUUCGUGAAUGGGAGAUGGAAAUAUCCUGCAAUAGUUCCAGUCCUCAAGCAAGAAGUUGUCUCAAUUUAUAAUGAAAACUUCACUGACAUUCCGAAGGACAGGGAGCCAUAUUAUAUUAAAGUUCAACGAUGUAUCAACGAUAAAGAUAAUGUUCCUACAUGUUCAUUAUGUUGGCCCCAACCUAUGACAUUGACAGAAGUCGAGAUUGUCGUUCCUGAUUUAAAAAACUACACAAAAUUUUAUAAAUAUAUUGUAUAUAAUCACACUUCUUGUUACUGG